AGAGAGCUAGACAAACCCAAAAGCUCACAAACCUUAGUUUGUUGCAUGGGCUGAUUUCAAACACAUGAGCUUGUGCAACAACAUCAACAAGGGAAGAAAAUAACAGCAGUUUCUCAGACUUAGUGAAAAUCACAGAUUUUCAAAAAGGUGGCAAUUUCAGCCAAGUGUCAACUUUGACAAGGCACAACAAGUUGAUACAAC
rnacentral:lncRNA from 1 species